rnacentral:lncRNA from 1 species
GUCGUGAGGCGAUUCCCGCCCCGCCCACCGGCUCCCCCUCAGCCCCUCGACGCUCCCGGGACCCCCCGGAAACCCCCGGCCCCGGCCGUGCCCCGGGGCAGCGGCCACACCGGAGCACGCCCCGAACGCGAUGGCUGCAGAGGGUCCCUGCGCCCCGGGCGCCGUCACCCCCCUGCCAGGUGCGGGGACCAUGAAGGAGCGGGGCGGGGGUGAGGCGCCGGGCCCCUCCAUAACCCAUGUCCCCCCCUCAGCCCCUGCCGAGAGCGGCUGCUCGGACGAGUUUGCCCUGGACUGCACCUUCGCUGCCUGCGACCCCGAGCGAACAGGUAGCCGAACCCCCUGGGGCCGUGGCGGCCACAGCCGAACUCCCCGGGCCGGUCACCGCCGUGUCCCUGAGCGCUCCGCCCGCCCCAGGGAUGGUGCAGCCGCAGCGGGUUGUCGAGUACGUGGCCGCGAUGACGGGGCACAGCGGGCACGACGGGCGGCUGCGGGCGCUGCGGCGGGCGCUGGACCCCGCGGCCGCGGGCACGGCGCUGGACUGGACCCGGUUCCGCGCCGCCAUGGGCGCCUGGAUCGCGGCGUGCCGGCAGGACGGGGCCGAGGAGCAGGACGUGGUGACUGGUGACACCGGACCAGCGCCAGCAGGUGGGUGUUGGUGCAGGAAAAGGGAGUUGGGGUGGCCCCAGUAGGGACACAAACAGCCCGCUGCGUCCCGUCCUGCAGAGGACGAGGCGUCCCCAGCGGCUGCCCAGCUCCAGGGUGACAGCGCAGACAUCACCGCCUCGUAAGUGCCCGCUGCGGGGACACCCCGCCGUCCCUGGCCGUGCUCCAGGAGCACCCCGGGACCGGUGGGACUCCCCGGCAGCGCCGAGGCCGCGGGGCUGCGGAGCCGUGCCCGGCAGCUGGCGGCCCAGAACGCCAAACUGCAGCGGGAUGCUGAGCUGGCCGAGGAGCUCAACGCCCGCCUGGCCGAGGAGAUCGCGCAGCUCCAGGCACAGCUGCGAAGGUGCUCCCGAGGGGCUCCCGAGGGGCACGGGGUCUGGAUCGGUGUCCUGGGGAUGCUGAAACGCCGUUUGCUCCCGGCAGCAGCCGGCAGGCGCUGGAGCAGGCCAGGGUGGCCGUGGAGGAGCUGGAUGACACGAAGGCCGUGGUGAAGCAGCUGGAGGAGGAGAACGCUGAGCUUCGGCGGCAGGCACGGCACGCGGUGAGAGGCUAAGCUGGGGUGCCGCACAGCGUCGGGUGCGGUGUCACACGGUGUCCCCUCACGGCCACCCCAGGACGGUCACCC